rnacentral:lncRNA from 1 species
UAUAUAUAUAUAGAGUGAGGCUACUAUGCUAUCGGAAGCACGGAGCCUUCCGUGCUUCCAGCUCGUUUUCGAUGUUGCGAUUUUCGAAUCGUCGAUCGGCUCCGUUCAACUUGAUCUAGAGUAUUUGGAGUACCUAGAAAAUAAAUUUUAUUAUUUUUCGAUAUCAUUUGCCUAGUGAUCGAAUGGGCUCAAAAUCAACAAAUUUCAAUGGC